rnacentral:rRNA from 1 species
UAUUCCCCACUGCUGCCUCCCGUAGGAGUUUGGGCCGUGUCUCAGUCCCAAUGUGGCCGGUCGCCCUCUCAGGCCGGCUACGGAUCAUCGUCUUGGUGGGCCGUUACCCCGCCAACUAACUAAUCCGACGCGGGUCCAUCUUUCACCACCGGAGUUUUCCUCCCUGUGCCAUGCGGCACUGUGAGCAUAUGCGGUAUUAACAGCCGUUUCCAGCUGGUAUCCCCCGGUGAAAGGCAGGUUCCCCACGCGUUCCUCACCCAUCCGCCGCUCUGAAUAAACUUCCUUGGCCGAAACCUUGUCGGUCUAUUCAUCGCUCGACUUGCAUGUGUUAGGCACGCCGCCAGCGUUCAUCCUGAGCCAA